CGCCACGGGAAUUCACUUUCCACUCGUUCUUCUCCACAACCAAAGUUACCCCAAGAUACGACUACUUCAGCAACGAUACCUAAGAGAUCUUCCACAAGUCUGCAGAAGAUGUUUCUGAAGACCAAAUGAACGUCACCAAGGGAUUAUCUGAAGCCCCGAACCAAAGUUCGGAAGCUAAUAAUACUAACAUCCCUAACUUCAUCCCCACCAGUAAAGACAAGCCCCGGACAUAUCCCACUACUUUAUUUACAUUGCAAUCUAUGUCUAUUUAUAUUA